GAGGGGAAAUGCCAGUAAUAAGACGAUUUUGCGGAAUGUUUUGAACAAUGGAGGUUAUCGGUGAAAUUAUGGAGGACAUUAUGACGCUCGCGCAGCAAGUUGAUGACAGUUCAUACUCUACAGAUUUCCUCUUACUCAGAAGCCAUUUAGUUUUGGACAGGUUAAAUGAGUUUGUGGCCUUGACGAACUGCAACAUCAGUAAUGUUGCCUUCGCCAACCUAAGUGAAGUGGCCAACAGGCUUUUUGUGAAGGACAGAACAACUAAAGGACCAGGACGUCCUUUGAUGGACAUACCACUAGAAAUGAUUGAGUACUACGUGAUAUGUGGUUACUCAUUUGUCCAGCUUGCUCGGAUGCUUGGAGUAUCUGAGCGAACCAUCCGAAGAAGACUGGGACAGCAUGGAUUAAGGGCUAAAGAUAUGUACUCCGAUGUAAAUGAUGAUGCAUUGGACAACGUUGUGGCUGAAAUACAAAUAAAUUACCCAAACGCAGGAUACAGGAUUAUACAUGGUCAUCUUCGUUCCCAAGGUCUUCAUAUUCAGACUUCUAGGUUGUGUGAGUCUGUGCGAAGAGUUGGUCCACUGGGGACUCAACUGAGAGCAUUAUCAAUAUGUACACGUCAUCGCCGUCAAUACUCUGUCUCAGGACCCAAUGUAAUGUGGCACAUAGACGGAAACCAUAAGUUAAUAAGGUGGAGGUUUGUUAUUCAUGGAGGCAUCGACGGCUUUAUCCGCUAAUUGUUUACCUGAGUGCUGCAACAAACAACCGGGCAUCGACAGUUGUUGACAGUUUUAUUGGAGCAGUUCAGAAAUUUGGACUCCCCUCUCGAGUGCGCUCAGACAAGGGCUUGGAGAACAUUGAAGUGGCGCACUUCAUGGUGGCACAUAGGGGAGAGAACCGCAGCUCACACAUAACUGGAAGAAGUGUCCACAAUCAAAGGAUUGAAAGACUAUGGAGGGAUGUCUACGAACAGGUCUUAGGCAAGUUCUACUGCCUGUUCUAUGGAAUGGAGUCUGAGAGUUUACUGGAUCCAGAUAAUGAGGUGCACCUAUACGCACUACACUGGAUUUUCCUGCCUCAGUUGCAAAGACAUCUUGAUCUGUUCCAGGAUGCUUGGAAUAACCACAAAUUAAGGACCACGGGUAGCCAAUACCCUCUACAGUUGUGGACAACAUUUCAAAAUGCUGAUGAUCCAGACCAGGUGAGUGAAGACUUUGGAAUAGACUGGGAAGGACCAUCAUGCAGUGUUGAAAUGGAGGGAGUUGCAGUCCCACAAGCACAACUGCAGAGAGAGUUGACUGCUGCAGAGAUUGAUACCUUGCCCAAUCCAAAUGUUAUUUUCACAGAAACAGUGGACGCUUACUGUGAAACGGUGCAACUGUUAACUCAUUUAUUGGGAUAGAUGAACUGCUCACCCUAACAAUAUGCUUGAACAAUGGAUAUCUUAAUGGAUUUAAACACAAUGUCAUACAUUGUUCUGUGAAUUAAUUGGAGCUGCUAGAUUUCCUUUGUC